rnacentral:rRNA from 1 species
UACGGAGGAUCCAAGCGUUAUCCGGAUUUAUUGGGUUUAAAGGGUCCGUAGGCGGUUUUGUAAGUCAGUGGUGAAAGCCCAUCGCUCAACGGUGGAACGGCCAUUGAUACUGCAAGACUUGAAUUAUUAGGAAGUAACUAGAAUAUGUAGUGUAGCGGUGAAAUGCUUAGAGAUUACAUGGAAUACCAAUUGCGAAGGCAGGUUACUACUAAUUGAUUGACGCUGAUGGACGAAAGCGUGGGGAGCGAACAGG